UAAUUCAAUCGAACCCUCUCAACGGAUUUCUUAUCUGUAAACAGAAUUUUUUUUGUUCAUCUUUAAUAAUAGUUUAUCAAAACGCAUUGCAAGAGAUUUAUCUUCUGGUUGAAUUGAAGUGUAUGUAUGUACUUAUAAAAUUUGAUUAAGUAGCGGCAUUGACAAGGGCCGUCUUUUGACUUACCCUGAAUUUUGUCAACUCUACGAUUUUUAUACCAAAUCAUGAUGCAUUCCGCUAAACAUAGACCUUCAAUGAACAAAAAAUCGUUGAGUUGAGGAAAUUCAGCCAGGGUGGAUACAAAAACGGCCCUCAUCGAUACAGUUCCUUAAGAGGUUGAUAUGAUAAUGACUAUUUAUCUCAUUCAAAUCAGAGUUUCUUUUUUGAAUGCUUACUAUUUUUACCAGAAACAUAAUCGCAUUGUCUGUUCCAUUGUGUCCAACAGGAUCUCCUCACAAACUUCAAACAGAAAAUUGAGCGAGUUCGCACGAAAGGUAUUGACUCGUAUUUCCAGCCAAUAGAGAAAUCCUCCAGUUCGGACACACCUGGUGGCAAAUCGCAGAGAUCAAGUUCUAUGACUCCAGCUACAGUCAAAAAGAGUGCAAGGCCAAAGCGUCUGAAGAAAAUCGUCAUGAGCAGCCCUGAAGAGUCUUCUGGAUCAUCAAAUGAAUCUGGUGAGAAAGUCAAAUAUUUUAGAAAGAAGGCUGCUGCGAAAUUGAAAUUCCAUGUGAUUGGUAACCAGGGCUGCAAUUUCAUCUCUUGUUCUUAUCUUUCGCAGUCGUCUUACUGUAAUUGAACAAAAAUCAUGAGAAAAGUUGAAAAUCAACAAAAGAAAUUUUCGCUCCCUGUCUCUGAGUGCUUUUCUAUCAAACCAUACUGUGAAUAUAAAUAUAUAAAAAUAGUUACAAACAGUGGAUUUUUAGCAAAAUGGGUACACCCAGUUGUCAAACUUUUUGAAAACUCGAGUUAAACUUUAAAGUGAGUGAAUCUAGAGUUUUUUAAAAAGUUGGACAGCUGGAUGUAUCCAUCCCUCAUUUUUCAAAAUUUUCGAAACUGCUCUUGAAUAUUUCAGCUCAAGAAAGGGAUACUCGAAUAAUUUUACACCUCAUUAUUUUAGAUUUCAGAGAAUUACUUUAUUUUCAAAAUCUGUAUGAUUACAUUUUUUUAAACUUUUAGUCUUAUUUUUCAUUUGUUUCAGAUGAGGAGCCUCCCAGGAAAGUACCACAGAAAACACCAAGAAGCAACCCUAGGAGGAGAGUUCUAAUGUCAUAAUCGUGGUUCCUCCCUCUAUAAAAGGCAAUCAAAUGUAUUUAUGAAUUGUUUUCACUGCCUGAUGUCCCGACGAGUUUGUUUUUUUUUUUUUUUUUUGUAAAAAAAAUGUUCCUGUUCCGUUUUACACGGAAAGUGAUUGUUGUUCUGUUGAUACAUUUUUUGUAAUAUUUUUUGAAGAAAGUAUUUUUCUAUCUGUGUGUAUAAUUGGCUUCCAAAAUUUUGUACUUAUAUUUUAUUUAAAUUGAUCCUUAGGCGUGUAUUAAAAAUUCUCUCAUAAUUUUCCAUUAAAAAUCAUUUUUCAUUCUCUUUGAGUAGCAUUCUCUUGAGUCUCUUUAAAGUGGCAGCCCUGUCAAUGUAUUGGCUCCCUAUCUUUGCAUGGAGAGUUUGUCUUGAUGUAGAGGUGGACUCUCAGGAUAGC
rnacentral:lncRNA from 1 species